AUACGGAGGGGGCAAGCGUUGUUGGGAAUUACUGGGCGUAAAGCGCGCGUAGGCGGCUUGGUCAGUCGGAUGGGAAAGCCCCGGGCUUAACCUGGGAAUUGCACUCGAAACUGCCGAGCUAGAGUAUGGGAGAGGGAAGUGGAAUUUCCGGUGUAGCGGUGAAAUGCGUAGAUAUCGGAAGGAACACCAGUGGCGAAGGCGACUUCCUGGCCCAAUACUGACGCUCAGGUGCGAAAGCGUGGGUAGCGAACAGGAUUAGAUACCCCGGUAGUCC
rnacentral:rRNA from 1 species